AUCCUAUGCUGAGGAAAUUUCCGCAAGAGAUCCUUAAACCUAUCCCAUGUUUGAAAAACAGACUCCAAUUCCGUUUGCACAAAGGAGGAUAUUUCAUUCCUGUGCUU